rnacentral:rRNA from 1 species
CAGAGGGAAGCCAGGUGGCGACACCGCGCGGAACCGAAGCCGUUCUCAGUUCGGAUCGGAGUCUGCAACCCGACUCCGUGAAGCUGGAUUCGCUAGUAAUCGCGCAUCAGCCAUGGCGCGGUGAAUACGUUCCCGGGCCUUGUACACACCGCCCGUCAAGCCACGGGAGCCGGGGGUGCUUGAAGUGCGUCGCCGCAAGGCGCGCCCUAGAGCAAAACCGGUGACUGGGGCUAAGUCGUAACAAGGUAAC